GACGAACGCUGGCGGCGUGCUUAACACAUGCAAGUCGAACGGAAAGGCCCUGCUUUUGUGGGGUGCUCGAGUGGCGAACGGGUGAGUAACACGUGAGUAACCUGCCCUUGACUUUGGGAUAACUUCAGGAAACUGGGGCUAAUACCGGAUAGGAGCUCCUGCUGCAUGGUGGGGGUUGGAAAGUUUCGGCGGUUGGGGAUGGACUCGCGGCUUAUCAGCUUGUUGGUGGGGUAGUGGCUUACCAAGGCUUUGACGGGUAGCCGGCCUGGGAGGGUGACCGGCCACAUUGGGCCUGGGGUGCGGCCCGGACGCCUACGGGAGGAAGCAGUGGGGAAUAUUGCACAAUGGGCGGAGGCCUGAUGCAGCAACGCCGCGUGCGGGAUGACGGCCUUCGGGUUGUAAACCGCUUUCGCCUGUGACGAAGCGUGAGUGACGGUAAUGGGUAAAGAAGCACCGGCUAACUACGU
rnacentral:rRNA from 1 species